rnacentral:rRNA from 1 species
UACGUAGGGUGCAAGCGUUAAUCGGAAUUACUGGGCGUAAAGGGUGCGUAGGUGGCGCGCUAAGUCAGGUGUGAAAUUUCGGAGCUUAACUCCGAAACUGCAUUUGAUACUGGCGUGCUUGAGGACUGGAGAGGAGACUGGAAUUCAUGGUGUAGCAGUGAAAUGCGUAGAGAUCAUGAGGAAGACCAGUGGCGAAGGCGGGUCUCUGGACAGUUCCUGACACUGAGGCACGAAGGCCAGGGGAGCAAACGGG